AGAGUUUGAUCCUGGCUCAGGACUAACGCUGGCGGCGUGCCUAACACAUGCAAGUCGAACGGAAAGGCUCGAAAGCUUGCUUUUGAGUACUCAAGUGGCAAACGGGUGAGUAACGCGUAAGGAACCUACCCUUUGGACGGGGACAACCACGGGAAACUGUGGCUAAUACCGGAUACGUUCUCUUUUUCACCUGAAAGAGAGAAGAAAUCAAUUUGGCCGAAGGAUGGUCUUGCGUCUGAUUAGCUUGUUGGUAAGGUAAUGGCUUACCAAGGCGAUGAUCAGUAGCUGGUCUGAGAGGAUGAUCAGCCACAUUGGGACUGAGACACGGCCCAGACUCCUACGGGAGGCAGCAGUGAGGAAUUUUGCGCAAUGGGGGAAACCCUGACGCAGCGACGCCGCGUGGAGGAUGAAGUCUUUCGGGAUGUAAACUCCUGUCAGUGGGGAAGAUAAUGACGGUACCCACAGAGGAAGCACCGGCUAACUAUGUGCCAGCAGCCGCGGUAAUACAUAGGGUGCAAGCGUUGUCCGGAUUUAUUGGGCGUAAAGCGCACGUAGGUGGUAAAUUAAGUUGGAUUUGAAAUGCUGUGGCUCAACCAUGGUUUGGGUCCAAUACUGGUUUACUAGAGAACAGGAGAGGGAAGUGGAAUUCACGGUGUAGCGGUGAAAUGCGUAGAUAUCGUGAGGAACACCAGUGGCGAAGGCGGCUUCCUGGACUGUAUCUGACACUAAGGUGCGAAAGCGUGGGUAGCAAACAGGAUUAGAUACCCUGUAGUCCACGCUGUAAACGAUGUUCAUUAGGUGUGGGGAGUUUCAAUACUUUCCGUGCCGUAGCUAACGCGUUAAAUGAACCGCCUGGGGAGUACGGCCGCAAGGCUAAAACUCAAAGGAAUUGACGGGGGCCCGCACAAGCAGUGGAUCAUGUGGUUUAAUUCGAUGAUACCCGAAAAACCUUACCAGCACUUGACAUCUAGGGAAUCCUUUAGAGAUAUUGGAGUGCCUUCGGGAACCCUAAGACAGGUGGUGCAUGGUUGUCGUCAGCUCGUGUCGUGAGAUGUUGGGUUAAGUCCCGCAACGAGCGCAACCCCUGUCCUAUGUUGCUACCCUUUUUGGGAGCACCCUUAGGAGACUGCCUGUGGAAAACAGGAGGAAGGUGGGGAUGACGUCAAAUCAUCAUGCCCCUUACGUGCUGGGCUACACACAUGAUACAAUGGAUGGUACAAAGGGUUGCUAAGCCGCGAGGUGGUGCUAAUCUCAUAAAACCAUUCCCAGUUCGGAUUGUAGUCUGCAACUCGACUACAUGAAGUUGGAAUUGCUAGUAAACGCAGAUCAGCAAGCUGCGUUGAAUACGUUCCCGGGCCUUGUACACACCGCCCGUCACACCAUGAGAGCCGGAUAUACCCGAAGUCAGUGAGCCAACCGCAAGGAGGCAGCUGCCGAAGGUAGAGCUGGUGAUUGGGGUGAAGUCGUAACAAGGUA
rnacentral:rRNA from 1 species